UCCCCUCACAAGCUCUGCCGUGGUACUCUGGCCCACGCUGUUGUCGGUCCCCGAGACUCUACCCUGCCCCUACUACAACCACACACACGACCACGACCACUACCUCGACAACCAACACCUUAGCCAUAUAUACUAUCACAAUAGAGACUAACACAAGGUAUUUUUUUUUUUUUACCAAAAACACUUACCAUGGAAUCUCCUUAAAGGCUCAGAAGGGAUGACCUAACCCCCAUUGUUAAUCGGUUGAGUAACUUGUCCUAAUUAAUUAAUAGCAUAAACACAAUCCAUAAUUAAAAUUAACUCACAUAAAUAUAAUUAUAACAUCCUAGGGAAUCACAUUCCCCCUCUUUUACAGAG
rnacentral:lncRNA from 1 species